rnacentral:sRNA from 1 species
CAGCUGCCGCGCGUGUGCACAUUCAGGUUCCCGAGCACAAACAUCAAGAUAACGUUCACUGCCCUGUCCAGCGAGAAGAGAGAGAAGCAGGAGGCGUCUGAGUCUCCAGUGAAGGCCGUACAGCCACACAUCUCGCCCCUGACCAUCAACAUUCCAGACACCAUGGCGCACCUCAUCAGCCCUCUGCCCUCCCCCACGGGAACCAUCAGCGCUGCAAACUCCUGCCCCUCCAGCCCCCGGGGAGCGGGGUCUUCAGGGUACAAGGUGGGCCGAGUGAUGCCAUCUGACCUCAAUUUAAUGGCUGACAACUCACAGCCUGAAAAUGAAAAGGAAGCUUCAGGUGGAGACAGCCCGAAGGAUGAUUCAAAGCCGCCUUACUCCUACGCGCAGCUGAUAGUUCAGGCGAUUACGAUGGCUCCCGACAAACAGCUCACCCUGAACGGGAUUUAUACACACAUCACUAAAAAUUAUCCCUACUACAGGACUGCGGACAAGGGCUGGCAGGUAAAUGCCUUCAGUUUGUUGUUAAAUAGAGGCUGAUGGAUACCGAGAAGAAAGUGGAGCGGCUGCUGUCUGGAACGCAGGCACAGGUUAGGAAGGUAGAAGCGGGGGUUGGAGCCUCCCGUCCUGAGAGGAAGAGGAGCUGGGGGCUGGCGCUGCCAUGCUCUGCCUCACCUUCGUGUGGAGCAGAAGGAAGCGUGGUUCUGGAGGAGCAUCUAGGCCUGCGUGCUUUACUGUUGUGGAAAUUCAUGU